rnacentral:ncRNA from 2 species
GGCAGAGUAGAUGUAAGUGCGUUAAGUGCUAGAUGGACGGGAAGUUGCCACUAGACGAAAAAUCUCUUUAGAUUUGCGGUACUUAUGUCGCAUUCCGCUGCC